rnacentral:rRNA from 1 species
UACGUAGGCAGCAAGCGUUGUUCGGAAUUACUGGGCGUAAAGAGUGUGUAGGCGGUGUUCUAAGUCUGUUGUGAAAAUCUCCCGGCUUAACUGGGAGGGUGCGGCGGAAACUGGAAUGCUAGAGGAUGGGAGAGGUAAGCGGAAUUCCUGGUGUAGCGGUGAAAUGCGUAGAUAUCAGGAGGAACACCUGUGGUGUAGACAGCUUACUGGACCAUUUCUGACGCUGAGACACGAAAGCGUGGGUAGCAAACAGG